rnacentral:rRNA from 1 species
AGCAGCCGCGGUAAUUCCAGCUCCAAUAGCGUAUAUUAAAGUUGUUGCAGUUAAAAAGCUUGUAGUUGAAUUUCGGGAUCAAUAUAUUGGUCGUGCCUCCGGUAUGCACUGGUAUUAUUGAUUUCUACCCUCUGACAAACCAUGAUGUCAUUAAUUUGGUGUCAUGGGGAAUCAGGACUGUUACUUUGAAAAAAUUAGAGUGUUUAAAGCAGGCACACGCUUGAAUACAUUAG